rnacentral:rRNA from 1 species
UUAAAAAACAUGUCUGUGUGAAAUUAAUUUACAGUCUGGCCUGCCCACUGAGGUAUUAAAGGGCCGCGGUAAUUUGACCGUGCAAAGGUAGCAUAAUCAUUAGUCUUUUAAUAGGAGGCUGGAAUGAAAGGUCGGAUGAGGGGUGUACUGUCUUCUAUAUAAAAGUAUAAUUUAACUUUUAAGUGAGAAGGCUUAAAUAACUUAAAGGGACGAUAAGACCCUAUAAAACUUUAUAUUUUAGGGUUGAACUUUUGAUGACUAUGUUUAUUCGGGGGCAUAACAAAGUAUUUUGUUGGGGCGACAAUGAUAAAAAAAGGUAACUGUCAGUAGUUAUUAAAUACGUAUAAUUAGAAUCUGAUCCUACAAUGUAGAUUAUAAGAUUAAGUUACUUUAGGGAUAACAGCGUGAUUUUCUUUGAGAGUUCAUAUCGACAAGAGUAGUUGCGACCUCGAUGUUGAAUUAAAAUAUCCAAGUGGUGCAGGUGUUACUUAGGUAGGUCUGUUCGACCUUUAAAAUUUUACAUGAUUUGAGUUCAAACCGGUGUAAGCCAGGUUGUUUUUCUAUCUAU